rnacentral:tRNA from 1 species
CAAACUAAAGCUUUAAAAAGUAUUUUAUUUACAUUAAAAGGAUUAUUAUUAUUAAUAUAGUUUGA